rnacentral:misc_RNA from 1 species
GAUGAAGAACGUAGCGAAAUGCGAUACGUAAUGUGAAUUGCAGAAUUCAGUGAAUCAUCGAAUCUUUGAACGCAUAUUGCGCUCUCUGGUAUUCUGGAGAGCAUGCUUGUUUGAGUAUCAGUAAACACCUCAACUCCCUUUUCUUUUUUGAAAUGGGAGCUGGACUUGAGUGAUCCCAACACUUUUCUCACUGGAAAGUGGCGGGUCACUUGAAAUGCAGGUGCAGCUGGACUUUUCUCUGAGCUAUAAGCAUAUCUAUUUAGUCUGCCUAAAAAACAGAUUAUUACCUUUGCUACAGCUAACAUAAAGGAGAUGAGUUCUUGUGCUGACUGAUGCAGGAUUCACAGAGACAGCUUUGCGGCUGACUUUGUAAACUCGAUCUCAAAUCAAGUAAGACUACCCGCUGAACUUAAGCAUAUCAAUAAGCGGAGGA